AGCGGGGGACCGUAAGGCCUCGCGCGAUUGGAGCGGCCGAUAUCGGAUUAGCUUGUUGGUGAGGUAAAGGCUCACCAAGGCGACGAUCCGUAGCUGGUCUGAGAGGACGACCAGCCACACUGGAACUGAGACACGGUCCAGACUCCUACGGGAGGCAGCAGUGGGGAAUUUUGGACAAUGGGGGCAACCCUGAUCCAGCCAUUCCGCGUGAGUGAAGAAGGCCUUCGGGUUGUAAAGCUCUUUCAGCAGGAACGAAACGGUGGCUAUUAAUACUAGCUACUAAUGACGGUACCUGAAGAAGAAGCACCGGCUAACUACGUGCCAGCAGCCGCGGUAAUACGUAGGGUGCGAGCGUUAAUCGGAAUUACUGGGCGUAAAGCGUGCGCAGGCGGUUCUAUAAGACAGAUGUGAAAUCCCCGGGCUUAACCUGGGAACUGCGUUUGUGACUGUAGGACUCGAGUGUGGCAGAGGGGGGUGGAAUUCCACGUGUAGCAGUGAAAUGCGUAGAGAUGUGGAGGAACACCGAUGGCGAAGGCAGCCCCCUGGGUCAACACUGACGCUCAUGCACGAAAGCGUGGGGAGCAAACAGGAUUAGAUACCCUGGUAGUCCACGCCCUAAACGAUGCGAACUAGGUGUUGGGGAAGGAGACUUUCUUAGUACCGCAGCUAACGCGUGAA
rnacentral:rRNA from 1 species